GUGUCAGCCGCCGCGGUAAGACAGAGGUGCCGAGCGUUAGGCGGAAUCACUGGGCUUAAAGCGUGUGUAGGCGGAUUUUUAAGUACCUUGUGAAAUCCCAUGGCUUAACCAUGGAACUGCUGGGUAUACUGGAUAUCUUGAGCCAACUAGGGGCUACCGGAACAAAUGGUGGAGCGGUGAAAUGCGUAGAUAUCAUUUGGAACGCCAAUGGUGAAAACAGGUAGCUGGGGUUGUGCUGACGCUGAGACACGAAAGCCAGGGGAGCGAACGGGAUUAGAAACCCUAGUAGUCC
rnacentral:rRNA from 1 species